CAUCAAACCAAAGGCCGAGUGAGUUCAUGUAAAAAGGAGGCCGAGUGAGCCCAUCACUGGGAGAACACAGCCACACACAACGCCGACGGCUAUCCCAGCUCGGCACCUCCGCCGCCGUACUCCCUCCAUCUCCCCAAUCUCGUAUUUGCUUUCUCUGCACUCCCCAACCUCUCGUGCGCCGAAGCGGACAGGGGACCAGCUCGAGAUCGGGCCGAGGAGACCGGUGACCGUUGAGCACCACCGGCGGCAACCGGCGUGGUGGUGGCGGAGGAGGAGGAACAUGGGCAGCGUCGGCGGCGCCGGUGGUGAACAGAGCGCGAGCGGCGGAGCGGGCGGGGGCAGGCGGCGGCGGCCUCUCGCUCUCGGGCUUGGGAGGAAGAGGAAGAGCUCAUCUCAUGCAAGGUCAUCUCGCCGAAGCACACUUACAACUUACAAGCUGUGGCCGUAGCCACACCUGUUCUACAGCGCCAGUAAUGGAAAGGCCAUUCCCAAAUUCUGACACCUCAAUCUCAAUAUGUGUACAUAUCACCAGGUAAUAGAGGAUGUUCCCAAACAAAUGCAAGAUGUGCAUGAGAAACAAAUGAGUAAUUACAGAGUUGAUAGCUUAGCAGCUGAGGUGAUCCUCCUAUCGUAAACUCUUUAUGCAGAUGGUACUUAUCAUUGUACCAGAUCUAUCAAUCUUGUUCAUGAGGCAACAAAUCUAGCUAUUGACGGUAAUAACGUACUUAC
rnacentral:rRNA from 1 species